rnacentral:rRNA from 1 species
GAUGAACGCUGGCGGCGUGCCUAAUACAUGCAAGUCGAGCGAACAGAUAAGGAUCUUGCUCCUUUGUCGUUAGCGGCGCACGUGUGUGUAACACGUGUAUCACCUCCCUAUAUGUCUGGUAUCACUUCGGGAAUCCGGCUCUUAUCCCGUAUAACCUCUUUCACCGCAUGGUUCAUUAGUGAAAUGCGGCUUUUCUGUCUCUUCUCGCUGCUUCCGCGCCGUAUUAGCUAGUUGGUAAGGUAACGGCUUUCCAAGGCAACGAUACGUAACCGACCUGAGAGAGUGAUCGGCCACACUGGAGCUGAGACGCGGUCAAGACUCCUAAGGGAGGCAGCAGUAGGGAAUCGGACGCAAUGGGCGAAAGCAUGACGGAGCAACGGGGAGUGAGAGAUGAAGGUGUUCGGAUCGUAAAAAUGGGUUAUCAGGGAAGAACAGAUGUGGAAGUAAAUGUAGAGAGCGUGACGGUAAUGGGUAAGAAAGCAACGGCUAACUACGUG